CUCCCAUCUUAUUCCCAUAUCAGCAGGAAAAUUCACUCCAAUCAUCUCGCCAUUCUACACUUGGGAAAUCAGGUUUGCUUCAAUCUACCAUCCUUGAAUAUAUGCCCCACAUCUUGUUUCUGCGUCCUAAUCUUAUUAAGCUUGUAAUUAGUAGUUAGUGCAAGAUCGAAAAGGAGCUAUUGGCAAAACACCAUCCGCACCUGCUGAUAAAAUCACCGUGGGACAAGUGGCGCCUAAUCAUGAAAUAGCAGCAGAUUCAAUUGACAGUGAGAGAACAAUCAGUGAGGGUUAUGUGGGGAUCAUGUAUGGUGGUAGCCAAACCCACGAUGGCAACCUGGAAGGAGAAUCUUCUAUGGUACUGCUAGCAACAGAUUCAAGUGACAGCGAGAGAACAAUCAGUGAGGGUUAUGUGGGGAUCCUGUAUGGUGGUAGCCAAACCCAGGAUGGAGACCUAGAGGGAGAAUCUGCUAUGGUAUUGCCUGCUGUAGGAGAGAAUACCACGGCGAGAUCUAACAGUCAUGGUUAUAUGCGCAGCUUGGAAAUUGAUUCUGCCUCUCGUACUGAGAGGCAUGCUGCCAGGUCAGAUUCUGUUCUAGUGGCACAGUGCCGAGACUGCAUACAAAUUUACCCUGAGUGGCUGGAGAAAAUUGAUUCAGGCAAAAAGGUGUGGACAGCUCUCAAACAAUUUCAGGCAAGUGGGAAGCAUGAAGAGGUUAGUAUAUACACAUGUUCUGGUGUGCUCUGUCAUCAAAUAAUUUUCAUUGUGUGUUAAUCAUCUCAUAACAUAAGGAGUGUUUGCUUGAUGGGCAUUCAGACCAAAUGAUGAACGAAUUAGAUCCUAGGUUCUCCAAAAGAUGACAUUGUGUUUUGCUUCAAUUACCUGAUAAAUUUUCAGCCUUUGCAUCAAAAUGAUUUUAUGCAUUUGUUAUCACACUAACUUGUAUUUUUUUAAGCACAACCAUGCAUAUAUGUAAAAAAAACUCAUGGCCACUUGUGUGGUUGAUAGAAAUCAGUUAACAUCUCAAUUUCCUCAUGUGCUAUUGUAUGACUACGGAGGUUUUUUCUAACAUGCUCCCUCUUACCUCCCCUUUUCACAUGAGACGUAAGAGUAUAAAGUAAAUCUGAGUCAUUGAGUGCAUUAAGUAGUGGACUUGACUAAAUCUUACCUUCUUAACUCCCAUGUGAAAAGAUGGGGUAAGAGGAAGCAUGUUAAAAUGGCUCAUGAAUGUGGUGGUGCCGCCAGUGGCGGAGCUUGAGCAUAAUCCAAGAGGGCCAUUACUUGAAGGGGAGCAAAUUAGAUGGGAAGGAGGGGCAAAUAUCUAGUUUAAACACUAGUUAGGCUUAAAAUAUAGUAUAUUCAUUGAUGGGUGCAAAAAUUAAGGGGGGCCAUGGCCCCUAUUGGUCUACAUGAAGCUCCGCCACUUGUUGUUGCACAUUCUACCGUGUUGUUAUAGACACUGACUGAAUCUUGUUUUUGCACUAUAUCAAAAUGUACUAGCAGUCAUAAGACACCAAUCUGUCAGGAUCUCGGCUUUUGGCCUUCUGCUAGGAUGCACUAAAGAUAUUGAUAAGUCUCGCCAUUCCUGGAUGUUGUGAAGGUUACCUGACUGGAACAGAUUGUUCUGGAGAAGGAUAUGGCGGCGUGGCAAACCUAAAGUAGCAAUGAUGCAACAAAUGGAAUGUGAUCGAUAAUGGUAUUCUCUAUGGGUGCACACCAGAGAGCAUACAAAUUAGGGUCUGCAUGGACGACCAAAACACGUGGCAUUUUUUUAUCAACAUACCAAUAGGGUCUGCAUGGACGACCAAAACACAUGGCAUUUUUUUAUCAACUAUCCCAUCCUUUUUCCUUUGAUCUACUAACAUUGGUUUCAAGUUAUUGUAGAAGUUUCUUGUAGUGACUGGUUAAAAUAAUUCACACAUGUUCGGCUAUUCAUGCUAUGUUUUACAAUCUGUUCCGAUGAUGAAUAUCCAUUUUUCCAAAAAUAGUGCAUCUACCUCUGACUCUUUCGCAUUAAACUAUACAAUUGAAUUCGCUGAAGAAGGGAAAACCUCCCACUUUCAACCAAUAUGAGUUUGAUCUAAACCAGAUCAUACUACGGGCUGGGUCGGGUUUGGGUCGGGCUUCACAAAGCCUGGAGUCAACAAUCCAAGCCCAAGCCCGGCUUGGCCCGGCUAAAAGCACAUCGACAAUGGCUUCUCAAUUUAACUAAUUAUAUUUGGGAUAUUAAAAUGAUAUUAUAUACCUAUAUUUUGAAUAAAAUAUACAUUUGUUGCCAUUUCGGGCUUUUGGGCCGCGCUUCGGGCGAGAAAUUGAAGCCCAAGCCUACCCCAGAUGUCGGGCUUUGGGCUCGGGCCUCUUGGCCGGGUAGUCCAUGAACAGUUUUAGUUUGAUCUAUUCACUCACAUUUUGAUCCUCGUUCAUUAUAUCAUUUAACCAUAAUUCAUAUGAACAUGCACCACGUGAAUAUAAUAAAGAAAAUGGGACAAUUUGUAGUAUACAACGCCUUAUGGUGCGAUAUCACAGGAACAUUUUUCUCCUUGAUUACAGUGUCAAAUCAUAUAUUAUAUGACAAAUUAAGUAUAUUGUUUUGCUUAUUUCAGUAUUACCUUCAUAAGGAAUAUAGUCACAAAUUUUGCUCCAAACGCAACGUUAUUGAGUUCAUACGAAAUGGAACUGUGAAAGGGAAGCCAGUUCAGAAGGUGCCUAAAUACUUGACUUUCAAACAUAUAGUAAUUAUGCGAAGAUGUAUAUGUUUUUUGUAUUAACUUUAAAGUAUUAAUUUGACACGGUAUCCUAUUUUUGCACAGAGAUCAUCUGAUACUUCUACGAACAAUCUUCAGGGUAUGUCCAGUUGGCCAUGCAUUUGGAUAUUAUUUUGUCUACUAUUAUUACUAUAGAGAGAAAUCUAACUGAAACUGAAAUAUAAUAAAUAUUCAUGGAGAGAAAAAUAGACAUUAAUGUCCACAUACACAACACAAUUAGCCAGUACUAUCCUAGUUUACAUGAAUUAAUAUUUGCAAUGACAUUUAGGUUACUCAUGACAUGAUAAAGAAAAAGUUUUUUUUGCGAGGUAAGAUAAGGUUUUAUAUAACUGUUCAUGGGGACCUCCUCAUGGUUGCAGAUACAUAGUUUUACAGUGCUUCAUGAAAUAGUUGCAUAUCAUCAUGUCUAAAAGAAGAAUCAUGACGGACACAACUUCAAGAAUUCUUCUUGUAAAAUAACAUAAUUUGUAUAUACCUCAUAGAGGAUGUAACUUGUUGGUAGCAUUUAAUAUUGUGACAUACUCGCCAUCUUUUGUGCCAGCAUUAUUUGGGUGAUGAUUUAAUAUCCAAAAGCAUACAUCAAGGUAGUUAUGUGUAAUGAUAUUCUUGUGAAAGUAACUCUCAUAGUGUAUACUUGCAUAUAUGUAUUGUUCUAUUGUAUUCUCACAGUUAAUCCUUUUUCUUGAUGUUUUGUUUGUUUAUUUAUGUUUAGAGCAAGAUUAUAAAUUAAGCUGAGCAUAAUUUCUGCAGAUUAUAGAUGGCCCACUAAAAGACAAAGGACGAAGGCGCAAACUUCAAGUAAUUCUUCUUGCCACAUAGGUUUUCCUUAUUGUGCGAGGAUACCACUUGUAACUGCCUUCAGUCAUCUAUGUCAGUAGUAUUUUGAGAAGAAUUUCCUUACAAAAUGCAACGACUCAAACAAUCAGAUUUUUCAUGAUGAUUCCUAAUUGUAUAACCAAUAAGCUUAACACACCUUCCUAUUUUAGAGUUGUUAUCUUAAUAAAUAUAUACUAUCUAUUAUUAAUGUUGUUGUUGGGUGAAGAACAUUUGUUGCUCAUGGUUAGAAUGUAGAAUUUUAUUAACACAACAACCUAGAGCGAAUGUGGAGGCCAAUAUAGAUUGAAACCAUUAAUUCAUAUUAAAAUGGUCAUGAUUUCUUAUUUUUAUUUGACAUAGAUGUUUGUGACUUGUUUGAAUUAAUGUGUUCUUCCAUUAUUUGAUAUUUCUAUAUUCAUACUAUUUUUAUGAAAUGUGCAGCUAGUUUGUCAACCGGGGCACGAACAACCACAACUUCUACAAAGCUUCCACAUGGUUUCAUCUAGUAUCAUGCGGAAGACAUUGAGACAAUCAAGAUUACUUGAGCAACCUGAAUUAUGUUAGUUGUUACCUGCUUUCAAACGAAUGUGUCCUCUCAUAGUAUGUAUGUACUUCUGUUGUUGAGGAAUUUAUAUCAUUAGACAGUUCUAUUUUUAAUAAUUAUUGAUUAAUGGGUACAUACCUUCAAUCCUAGAAGACUGCCAGAUAGCCAGUCAAGGAAGCGAUUUGUUAUUGAACAGUGCAUAAUAGGGACAUUUUUACAUUCAAAGGAACAUCGUAGGAAUAAUUUGGUAUUUCGUGAAGAUUUUCCAGUCCCCUGCCCCAACCUACUUGAGACAGUAUGAGUGCUGACACACACAUUUGUAACGUAUGAGCAAGCUAGUGCAGUAGCUUCAGUCACAUGCUCUGGAAGCCCAUUUUGGGUCUUCCUUCAGAAGGCUCAACAAGGCCAUCACCACACCAUUCUAGUUAGUUACUUUUGCAAUGAUAUAUGUCCGUAAGAAAAUAAGAAGCUAGGGUUCUAGUAGACUUAUAAUGCUCUAACAGCACCAUGUUGGAUAUGCCCGCACAAAUAAAAUAACAUGAGUCGAGUCUAUUUUGUAAGCACAUAUCUUGUCACCAGUCAACUACUAGUACAGUAAGAGCAUCAAAGAGGAAUUCAUUUCAUAUAGAAUAGUCGCAUACAUAUACUUCUGUUCGGCACAUACUGCUCAUUAUCAUGGACAAUGAUGUAGCUAGCUAAAAUGGAGCACGUGGCUAUAUAUAAUGUAAGGAGGGAAGCUCCAGGGACGAGCUCGACAAACAGAACUAACCUGCUCUUGCAAAGAACCAGUAAGCCUUGCUACAUUGCCACCUGCAUGCUGCAGGGCAUCGCGUCCACCAGCUACUGUGGUAUGUCGCAACUCUGUCCUCUCAUCUUUUCACCGAAGCGGUCGUUGGCGAAUUCUAAUCUUUCUGGAACAACAUUCGUAAUUCCCUGCACUAGAAGGUCAUCAUGAUGCAUCGGCACAUCUGAAUUCUAGCCACAUUAACAAAAUCUUUUCCCAAACCAAAUUAAGGGAGAAAUGAGAAAUGAAGGAGAGCACCAAAUAGUAAGUUAGGUUACACAUAUAUAUAGAAAUGUCGUUCAUAGUAAAAACAACCGGAAGUGUAUCAAUGUUGUUUGCUUAGGUGGCUGAAACCAAGGUCCUAUUCACUCGGAUGAUGAACCUACUAAAUAAAAGGUUUCUCAAAAUCGCCUCACAACUAGAGUCGAGUAACACAGUCAUGAUCCCAUGGGGUUAUAGGAUAACGACAUGCAAAUGUGGUUAACACAAUCAGCUCUCUCAUUAAGAUUUGUCUUAUUUUUUAUCACUACGGGAAAAUUCAUGUUUGCCGAGUGUCAGUGUCUUUCCUGAGUGCAUUUUGUCGGGCACUCGGCAAACAUAUGUUUGCCGAGUGUAAUCCUCAAACACGGUAAACAGGUGCUUUGCCGUCUGUCGUGGUAAAAAACACUGGCAAAAAAAUUAUAGUUGCUGAAAGGUGCUUUGUUGAGUGUCUUGGAAAUAACUCUCGGCAAAAUAGUGCAACACGGGCAAAGAUGUGCUUUCCCGAGUGCUACACUCGGCAAAAGGGGGUAUGCACUGCGCUCACUGUUUUGGCUGUCGAGAUUGCAUACAACCUCGGAUGAAGAUGAUCCAAAAAUCAAAGUUUUACAUUUCGACAAGAUGAAUAAUUUUCAUGUUGAGGACCUUUUCAUUUUAGGCCAUAUUAUUUACACUUUUUGCCAUGCCAAAAUAUGGUCUCAAAUGAAUAAGGUGGUGGUCAUAUUUAUUGCAUAGUUUAUGACUAUGGGCCUAACCUUGGCAUUUAUGUGCAUCUUGCCAUUACAAACAAUGUUGCCAAAUAGAGUUUCCAACAUUUCAUACAAAAAAAUUCUAUUUUUUCAAGUGUAAAAAAUUGAUACUUUUGUGAAGCUGCUAAAAAUAUCGAGUGCAACAUGGCAUCACUCCAAUAUUCACAAAAAUAUAUCGUAUUUUUUUAGAAAAUUCCCAUUUUUUGUGGAUUUUCUAGAUUUCUAGCUACUUUCACAUAUUUAAAUGACUUUAUUAUGAUUCCACGAAAUUAAUUCAAUUUGAACUGUAAUUGUGUGAUAGCUCUGUCCUAGAAAUUUGUAAAAAAUACUUUUAGGUACACAAGUAGUCAUUACAUGGAAAACCCACUUAGAGUUUGAGAGAUUCAACCCCUUGACAUGAAUAGCCAUGGCGGCCACUCUCACCCCGUUUUGGAAAAAAUGAAACAAAAAGGAUACAAGUUCAAAAAAUGUAAUCCUUUCAUAUGGACUCCUUUUAUGUGUACUAGUGUGGAUGAAAAUACCAAACUUUCAAUAUGACAGUUUUGAAAGAAAAAUAUCCUGCACAAAUGGGCUAUCUUCUAUGAACAUUCAUGGCUUUCAAGUCAAAUGACCAAGGUGAUGACCAUAUUCAUUGCAUAGUUUAUUAUAAUGUGCCCAAAUUAGACAUAUAGGUGAACCUUGCCAUUACAAAUAAUGUUGCAAAAUAGAGUUUCCAACUUUUUUGUACAAAAAAACAUUUUCUAUUUUCUAAGUGUAAAAAAUGGGUGUUUUUCGUACCAAAAACAGGGUACAAAGUGGCACCACUCCAAUUUUCACAAAAAGUAGACUGUAUUUUAUGGACAAUUCCCAAAGUCUGUAGAUUUAUUUCUAAAAAUAACAAUUGGUGUAUUUUUUAAUAUUUAAUGAAAAUAAUAUUUUUAUUUUUAAUGGGAAGGGAGGAUAUUUAAAGGAUAGCAUGGACAUCUGAGGGUGUACGUUGAAGCGUUGGAGGUGCCUUUAUGUGCCAGUUUACGACAUGCUCAACCAGCAAUGUGGUAGUAUUAAUCAGUAUAUACUUUUAAUUGUAAAAGAAAUCAAUAUAUAAUUUGUUUUGAUUAUUUUAGUAUGCAGGGCAAACUGAAAAUGGAUUUAUUUAGCCAAUUUUUGUGAAAUCACUAAUUAGGAGGUACCUUUUGCAAAGGUCACACCCCACUUUCAUUGGUGCUGACAGGUGGCACAUGGCAUGUGUGCCACUUGUCGCAACAUGGGAAUUUCCUCCUUUGUGUAGAAUCAUUUUUUAAUCUUUGAUCCCUUGAACCGCGCAUUCAAAUCACGACCCAUUUUUAUCUUUGGAUUUCUCGAGCCGAGAUCUUUGAAACUAGGUCGCAUGUUAAUAAGUUUCGAUGAACUUUUUCUUCACGAAAAUCAAAAAUCAAAAAAAUAUGAAAACAAAAAAUACAGAAAAAAAACUAAAAUCACGGUUGUGCUUUUUUACAUUUUUGAGAAGAACAAUUGUGCUCUCCCCUUUUCGGGAAACACGGUUUUGCUUCUUGUGCAAGCAUAGGUCGUGCUUUUCCCUUUUCAAGAAGCACAGGCCAUGCUUCUCUUGCUUCUGGGAAACACAUAUGUGCCUUUCCUUUUCGGGGAGCACAGUUUUCUCUUUUUUCGAAAAAGCAUAGAUGUGUUUUUCCCUCUUCAGAGAAGCACUACCUAUGCAUCUCACCGAAGAACAUGUUAUGCUUUUCCUUUUUUGAGGAAGUAUAGUUGUUCUUUCCCUUUUUACAGGGAAGCAAAAAAUGUGCUUCCUCCUUCUUGGGAAGCUGUGCUUCCCGCGGAAAAGCACCGCCUCAUGAAAAAACAUAAAAAAGUGUUUUUUUAUCAAAACCUAGGGAAAACUAAGAAAAAAAGAAAACAUGUGUAAAAAAUCUAAGGGUGUACCCAGCGCACGACACAUGGCAGCAAUUGGAUGCAUCACUUGAUGCGCUCUCAGGUCCUAAAAGUGACCUCUGUGGAAUCCCCCGAUGAGAUACUUGUUAGAUAGUUGGAGACCUCCUUGCAUCAAAUAGGAGGGUGGCCACAAAGGGGGCGCAUCCUUGUGGGCCGGCCUAGCAGCGUGCUGCACUCUAUUGCAAAUUGCUCAAAACUUAGAAAGUGAUGUGUGAGCAAAGCGCGCAUGGCUAGCCACUCAAGCUAAUGAAACUCUGCUAACUACUAGGCCGUGUUGAACUUUAAAAAGUAGUAUAUGAUACCCCGUGCGUUGUUGCGGGAACUCUUAGUACUUUACAUGAAGAAGCUUGUGGAGUGAAAAUAAUUGAAUGAUGAAAAAAAUACUUUUUAAAACCUUUGGUGGUACUUUUAGGAAGAUUAUGGAGUGAAAAUAAGUAAACAAUUAAUAUAUUUUUGAACCUUUGAUGGUAUUUUUUGAAUCGUGAGAGCAAUGGUAUAUCAGGGUAUCUCCGUAUUUGUGUAGUUAGAACGUGUCACCCUUUAGCGGGGAAUUAAAUGCAUCACUAACAUUAAAAAUAGAGCAUAUAGUAUGAUGGGAAUUUCACUGAAAACAUGGCCAGCCUAGUCUAAAGCUGAAUAUUACACUGAACAGAGAGUGCCAACACAAAAGCACUAAUGCUUGUUGAGUUCUUUGUAAUAUAGGAGCAGAAUCUCUUCGAAAGAGAAAUUCCAAAAUAUUAAAAAGAUCCAACAGUAAGACAUCCAUACACGUUACAGUUUAUACAUGGCGACAAGCUACAUACCAAUAGCUAAAAAAGGUGAAUAUAGAGUCAUGCACAUCAGGCCCUCAUGGCAUAGAUGCAUUUCUUCCACCAAAAGGACAUGCCUUCAGGGGAUUAGUGUAGCUAGGUGUGAAGAUCUAGACAUAUAAAUGGCAGGAAUGACUUCAUCUUCCUGCCCCUUCUAUGGCAAUAGAGGCCCGACUUCAAUUGGGAUCCGACUGACAUGUUGCUGCCUCUUCAUAAAAUGGAGUUGAUUGUUAUCUAAAAGCAAGGUAGGUAGCUUUGGCAUGGCCAGCAGUAGUACUUGCUACUUUGCCAGUUGUGAUGCAUCACAUGAGAAGGCAAGGAAGGCUGCGUGCUGCCAUGGCCGGACCCUUUGGGGUGCCAAAUGGUGUUCAAAUUUAUAGUAGGUUCCAUUUUUGGUGGGAAUCCAGGGAAAAGAAGGUGAUGGAGUAAGAUGACAAACCAUUCCCAUAAUACCACUCGAAAUCAAAAUGAAGAGGGUAAAUAAAUGUACUUACUAAGAACACAUGGAUAACAUACAACUGGCUACACAAGCAGCCAAACUUUGUAAGCCCACAGAACCUCAGGAAAUUGUGAAAACUAUUUCUGUGAGUAGAAGGUAAUGUAGUCCAGUUACCUUUCAUGGUAAUGCUUCUCUUGAGCCGAUUCUUAGGAUUCCUGAAGAAUGCCUUCUGUUUUCCCGAAGCAUGAUUCCUUGCUAGAGCACUACCUUUUGUUCUCUUGAGGUAAGGCGAAGUGGGAAAUAGAUCACUAUCAGCUCUAGUUUAAUUGCUUGUAUAUUACAAAAACAUACAAUUGAACAAUUAUCAGGAAAAGUUAUUACCUUAAUCGCGGCAACCCUUUGAGCAUGCAAUUUGGCGUCUUAGUGUAUAAUAUUCAUGUGUAAACAAUCUUGUUUUAGCACCCAGACUCUAUAAUUAAAAUUAAUAAGCUCUUUAAAAGUCGAAAGCAACUAUAUAGACCAAUACAAUUAAACAAAGCCAGCAGGUAGGUUUCAAAUUUGAAGUAGCAGGGCUCCAUAGUUAACUCUCCGGCAUGCAGGCAUUUAGUGUAGUAGAUCCAAGACAUACGUGUGAAAGAUUGCAUAUGAACAACAUUUAUUAGUAGGAAAAUUGUACUACCAUAUAUUGCACUAAAACUAACUGUAUCAAGAAGCCAAUAGCACGUAAUUUCAGCUUGCAAGAAAGCACCACUUACUCUUAAAGAUCGGUUAAUCUACAUGGCAACUUCCGGGGAUGGUGAUGGAUAAGUACAGUUGGAUCGUUUUUAGGUGUUAAUCUACUAUUAUGAAAAUCAUCUUCCUUUACUUUCAAGGGAGAACUGUAGAGGGGAAGGAACAACAUUCUUUUAUCUAAUGAUCCAUCACUUAUUCACAACUAUUGCAACAACCAACUAUGUUGGAUGCAAGGAGGAGGUGAGAGUGCAAGCAGCAUGUAUGCCACAUCAUGCGAACAGGUGGGGAUCAUGUUAAGUCAAUGCAAAAGGAUGUGUUGUGUGUCCGCGCACCCUCAGCAUCGCCGGGUAAAGUAAACUAAAUCUGGGGACCGGUGCUCUACCUUCCCAUCUACUUCUACUGGAAAUCACAUCCUCCACACUAAAUAAGAAAGACCGUUUAGGUCAAAGUAAUAGAGGGGAAAGAGACCACUCAUCUCCGACAAUGGCACGCGUGGCUUGCCUGAAGGUCGGGUUGAAUCCACGGUGUUGGGCUAGCGUAACACCCGCUGGCGGCGAUCAUGGGGCUCUGAGAUGGCGUCACCGUGUAGAUCUCUGGUGUUGUUGGCCAUAGACGGCUUUGUCGAUGGCGACACAUUAUGGAAAGAUGGAGAGAUAAAAGUGGGGAGGAGAAGAAUCAGGAAGACAAUAGAGAUUUAUUGGUGAAGGGGAGAUGAACAGAAUCAUCGGGCGAAGAGGUGAUGGCUCGUGUCCGCGUCCGUAUUUUCCUCGGGGAGGAAGGGAUGAUGCAGCACAGCUACGGUAGUUAUUUCCCUCAGUGAUGAGACCAAGGUUAUCGAACCAGUAGGAGAACCACGCAACACUAUAUAAACGGUACCUGCACACAAAGAACAAAUACUUGCAACCCGACGCGUAAGAGGGUUGUCAAUCCCUCCGGGGUAAAAGAUAGAUUGGUUUGUAGUAGAUUGGAUAAAUAGAUCUCGUGGAAACGCAAAAUAAAAUAAAUAACAAAAAAUUGCAUCAAGGUAUUUUGGGUUUUUAGAAUAAUAGAUCUGAAAAUAAAAGAGGCAAAUAAUAGAUCGGAAAGCAAUUUUGAUAAAGAAUAGACCCGGGGGUUGUAGAUUUCACUAGUGGCUUCUCUCGAGAAAAAUAGCAUACGGCGGGUAAACAAAUUACUGUUGGGCAAUUGAAAGAACUUCAAAUAAUUAUGACGAUAUCCAGGCAAUGAUCAUUAUAUAGGCAUCACGUCCAAGAUUAGUAGACCGACUCCUUCCUGCAUCUACUACUAUUACUCCACACAUCGAUCGCUAUCCAGCAUGCAUCUAGUGUAUUAAGUUCAUGGGAAAAUGGAGUGAUGCAAUGAUAAUGAUGACAUGACGUAAACAAGAUCUAUUCAUGUAGGAAUAGACCCCAUCUUUGUAUCCUUAAUGGCAACGAUCAAUACGUGUCUUGCUGCCCCUUCUGUUACUGGGAAAGAACACCGCACGACCGAUCCCAUCACAAAGCACCUCUUCCCAUGGCAAGAAAAAUCGAUCUAGUCGGCCUAACUAAACCAAAUAUUCAAAGAAGAAAUACGAGGCUAUAAGAAUCAUACAUAUAAGAGAUCAAAACUCAAAUAACUUUCAUGUAUAAAAUAGAUCUGAUCAUAAACUCAAACUUCAUCGGAUCCCAACAAACACACCGCAAAAAGAGUUACAUCAAAUAGAUCUCCAAGAGACCAUUGUAUUUAGAAUCAAAAGAGAGAGAGGAGGCACUUUAGGUACUGCCUACGGACCCGUAGGUCUAAAAUGAACUACUCACGCAUCAUCGGAGAGGCACCAAUGAGGAUGAUGAACCCCUCUGUGAUGGUGUCUAGAUUGGAUCUCAUGGUUCCGGAACUUGCAGCAGCUGGAAUUGUGUUUCAUCGACUCCCCUAGGGUUUUUGGAUUUUCGGGGUAUUUAUAGAGCAAAGAGGCGGUGCGAGAGGGCACCGAGGUGGGCACAACCCACCAGGGCACGCCUGGGCCCCCAGGCACGCCCAGGUGGGUUGUGCCCCCCUCGGGGCACCCCUCUGGUACUUCUUUGGCCCAAGUUGUUCCUUCUAGUCCAGAAAUAUUCUCCAAAAAGUUUCUCUGCGUUUGGACUCCGUUUGGUAUUGAUUUUCUGCGAAGUAAAUAACAAGCAAAAAAACAACAACUGGCACCAGGCACUAUGUCAAUAGGUUAGUCCCAAAAAAUGAAACAAAGUUGCUAUAAAAUGAUUAUAAAACAUCCAAGAAUGAUAAUAUAACAGCAUGGGACAAGCAAAAAUUAGAGAUACGUUGGAGGCGUAUCAAGAGGCAAUAAGGGGAAGGCGCAGCAAUCAGUGCGACGGUGGUAAAAAAUUACACGAUUCGUUCCGUUGAAAAGGGAAAAGGGAAGCAUUGCUGACGUGGUAGAUUUGCUUACGUGGAUGGCUGCAUGUUGAUUGCUGAUGUGGAUAGGCUACAUGUCAAGAGAAAUAUGGUAGUGGGGAUGAGCUAUUUAGGUAUUAUAGAUGCGCAACAUCACAUCUAAACUUUUUAUGAAAUUUCAAAACACGACGGUUUUUAAAAUGGAUAUUUUUUGGAACACAAACAUUUUUCAAAUUUAUGAAUAAAUUUUUGAAAACUUGAACAAUUUCUUGAGUCUAUGAACAUUUUUUUGAACACGAACUAUUUUUCAAAAUUUCAAAACACAAAUUUUUUAAUGCAACCUUUUUCAAAAUUUCAAAACAUGAUUGUUUUUAAAGUGAAUAUGUAUUAAAAUUCUAGACAAAAUUUGGAAGUUGAACUUUUUUGAAAAACACUCAAAAUUGUGGAUGUUUUCUAAAAACGUCAAAGAAUUUUGAAAAACAUCAAACAUUUUUCAAAGCACGGACAUUUUCUGGAAAAAUGAAAAAAAAAACAAAUUCGGAACAUCUUUUAGAAAUUUUGAAUUUAUGAAAAAAGAAAAAGAAACAGAAAAUGAAAAAAGAAAGAAAGCAAGGAAAAGCAGUGAAGAAAGAAAACAGAAAAAGGGAAAAAACCUGAAAAUAGUGUAAAAGACUGAUCCUAGCUACUUCGGCUGGUCCAUCUACGGUUUACUCGAUGCUCAUUUCGGAGAUUUCUUUUAGGGGUAAAACCAAGUUUUAUACAUCAAACACCAUAGUGUGUGGGAUAGAGUUUGGGUCGUGGCAUUUGCCAAACCAAACAUGGUGUCCCAGACCUAACGAAAGAGAAAACCUGCCUAGGUUAUGUGCUUCGACAUUUAAAGCAUGAUGUUUAGAUAAAAAAUUACAAUGAAAUAAAUAUGGUUGCAACUUGAUCUCAUUGAUAAUGGCUCGUUUCCACAUAGUUUGCUCACAUUUUUGAGAGAAAAUUUAGCCUUGAUGGGCUGGGAAAUUUGGCCAGCCAUCCUCGAGUGCGAGCGGCUUGUCUUUGUCUAGUAUAAGGCCCAUCACGUUGCCCAAGAGCCCACCCUUAUUGUUUUUCUAUAGGACCCAUAUAUGUUCGGUUCCUUAAGAAUGACGGGCCGCCUCCCACCCUCCCUCACCGGCUCGACAGCUCCCCCGCCAUCGGAACUAGGCCCUCGACCCUCCCCGCACCCCAAGGUUGCGAGCAUGUCCCUUCCCGACAUCUCUUCCACGUGGCCUCGCCCCACCCCACGUUCUUUCCCAAGUGCUUUGUCGAGUGUCGUGGAAAAAACUCUUGGAAAAAUAGUGGAACUCACGCAAAAUGUGCUUUACCGAGUGCUACACUCGGCAAAAGGGGGUAUGCAGGGAAGCACAAUCGUGCUUUUUUCCUUCUCGGGAAGCUGUGCUUCCCGUCGAAGGCUUCAUCAAAAACCAGAAAAAAAGAUUUUUUUCAUCAAAACCUAGGGAAAAUAAAAGACAAAAAACACGUGUAAUAAAAUUUAAGGGUGUACCAGCACACAACAUGUGGCAGCAGUUGGGCACAUCACUUGAUGCGCUCUUAGGGCCUCAAAGUAACCUCUGCGGGAACCCUGGACGAGAAACCCAUUAGAUCGUUGGAGUCCUCCUUGCGUCAAAUAGGUGUGGCCACAAGGGGAGCGCGUCCUGGUGGACCGGCCCAGCAGCCUGUAGCACUCUACCGCAAAUUGGUCAAAAUCUAAAACAUGACGUUUGAGCAAAUCACGCAUGGCUAGCAGUCAAGCUGAUGAAACUUUGCCAACUACUAGGUAGCGUUGAACAGUAAAAACUAUGUGCAACAUCACAUAUGAACUUUUUUUGAAAUUUGAAAACACGAUUGUUUUUAAAAUGAAUGGUUUUUGUAACAUGAACGUUUUUCAAAUUUAUGAAUAAAAUUUGGAAACAAGAGCAAUUUUUUGACUCUAUGAAAGCUUUUUUUAAACACAAACUUUUUAAAAAAUUUAAAACAUGAUUAUCAUUGUAAUGCAACCUUUCUUAGAUUUCAAAACAUGUUUUUUAUUGAAUAUUUUUUUUAAAUCCAAACAAAAUUUGAAAACUUGAACAUUUUUUAAAAGACUCGGAAUUGUGGACAUUUUCUAAAAAACAUGAAGGAAUUUAGGAAAACUUCAAACUUUUUCAAAGCACGAAUGAUUUUUGGGAAAAAUGAGAAAAAUCAAAUUCUGAACAGUUUCUGAAAAAAAAUAGAAAUGUUGAAUUUAUGAAAAAAAGGGAAUAAACUAUGAAAGAAAGGAAAAUCGGUGAAGAAAGAAAACAAAAGAAGGAAAAAACUAAAAAAUAGUGUACGAAAAAAAAUCCUAGCUACUUGGGAUGAUACAGAUGCAGUUUGCUCGCAGCUCAUUUCCCAGAUUUUUUUAGGGGUAAAACCAAUUUUUAAUCAUCAAACACCAUAGAGUGUGGGAUUGAGUUGGGGUCGUGGCAUUGGUUAAACCAAACAUGGCGUCUCAGACCUAACGAAAGAGAAAGACUGGCUAGACUAUGUGCUUCAACAUUGACAGCAUGACCUUUACAAGAAAAAUUACUAUCAAAUAAAGACGGUUGCAACUAAAUCUCGUUGAUAAUGGCUCGUUUCCCACAUAGUUUGCUCACAUUUUUUGAGAGAAAAUUUAGCUUUGAUGGGCUGGGAAAUCGGGCCAGCCAAUCUCGAAUGCGACCGACUCGUCUUUAUCAAGUAGAAAGCCUGCCACGUCGCCCAAGAGCCCACCCUUAUCUUUUUUUACAGGACCCGUAUAUGUUCUAUUCCUACAGCAAGACCGGUUGCCGCCAAGCCUCUCUCGCCCGCUCGACAGCUCCCCCCACCCCCAGGUUGCGAGCUUGUCCCAUCCCUCCCUCUCCUCUCCGCAGCCUCGCCCCACCCCGUCUUCUCCCCCAUCGGUGCUUUACCGAGUGUCUUUGUAACAUCCCAAAUUUUCAAUUUCAAAUGUUAUAUAUUAGAUCAUCAUUUGCAUAGCAUAUUUUAUUGCAUUUUGGCAAAUCCUCGAAAAUCCUAAGACACUCAAGGACCCUCGGAGAGAGUUGGGGAUUUUUUUUACCAAUUUUCAUAUUUGAUUUUUAUCAAAUAAUAAAACGAGGAUUUUUGGUUUUAAUUAUUUUUCUCUCCGAAAAAUAUUUCGUAUUAAAAUAAAUGAGAGGAGAAAAUAUGACUUCUCCAAAAUAAUUGAAAUAUUGGAGGAAAAAUAUUAAAAUCAAAUAUUUGAUUUUAUUCAGAUUUUUAUUUGCAAUUUUUAUUGCAUUAGAAAAUUUCACGUUUUCAAAACUGCAAAUUUUGGGCCAAGAAACUGUUCAUGUCGUCCUAAUUAUUUUAAUUAGACGGUCAAAAUUUGUUUUGGCAUUUUUGGAUUUUUAUUUAUUUUUCUACGAUUGUUUUUUGUUCGGCGGAAUAUUAUUUAAAAAAAUCCCCGCGCCCGACUGGGCCGAGGCCCAGCCGAGCCAGGCCGGCCCAUCCCGCGUCGCCAUAUCCCUCCUGGAGACCGGGACGAGCACGCCGCCGCCGCCCGACUCCGGGACGGCCACGCCUCCCCGGCGCCCCCUUCCCCAAGCCGGAGUAGCCCCCCCCACCUAUAUAUACCCCGCCUCGCCGCCGCCUCCCUCACCUCGCCCCGCCGACGCCGGAGCCGGAGCCCGAAGCCGCCACCGUCGCCGCCGCCGCCGCGAGGAGCCCGCCCUGACGCCGUUCCGCCGCCGCCCGCCGACCCCGUCGCCACCCGCCGCCUCCCCGUACCCCGCCCGCGAUCCGAAGCCCCGCCGGAGCCGCCCCGCCCCGCCCCGCCGGAGUAGCCUCGCCGGAGGUAACCGAAGCCGCCACCGCCGAGUCCGGUUUUUUUAAAACCGAUUCGGUUUAUUUAUUUUUUUCGAACCCUAGUUUUUUAUAUAGAUCGGUUUAUUUUUUUGGUUUUAUUAAUUAUUGAACGUUCACCGACCCGUUUGUUUUAACGAACGUGUUCGUCGGAUUGUCGCUGUUAACGAACGUCCGCUCGUUUAACUGUUCGUCAGUUUUUUUCGUCUGAUUUUUCCGCGGUUAUUCCAGAUCGCGAUUUCCGAUCAGAUUUUCAUUUUCGUUUAUCUUUUCGCUCGUUUAUCGGAAUCAGGCGAUUCAAGCGCCUAGAGUUUCGUCUCGAAAUUCUCUUUCCGUUUAACCCACUCAAACAAGUUUUUGCUACUGUAAAAUUUGACCUAGAUCCAGAUUAGUAAACGAAGCUUGUUUCUUUCGCCGCUUGAUUUUUGUUGCUUCGUUCGAUUUGAUUCUUUCUGCAAACCGGAGUUCUUAAGUUGAACUUUCUGGUUAGAUCAUUAUUUGAGUUUUACCUGUGCAUUUGAUGAGUGCCUAUUGUAUGCUUGUUUGUUUGCGAUAGAGUACCCGGAGUGCGCCGCUUGCUACUUCGAAUCUCUAAGUUUCACGGAUCAUCAGCAAGGCAAGUAACACUUUGAUCAUAUCUUUUACUACCCAGUUUUAUUGCAUUAGACCAACCUUCAAACAUUGCAUGGUUAGGAUCUAAUUAAAUUGUGGGUAUUGGGAAAUAGUUGAGGUAGUACCUAUUGCCCUGUUUAUUGUCAAACCCUUGGGAGUUACUUCUACGUUUGCUUAUAUCGCUGUGCUAUGCUAGUAGACGUGGAUUGGGUUUGAGAGGUAUUCACGACAGAUAUGAGAUUGUUAAUUAAUGGUUUACUUAAGGUGGCAACUAAAACUCACAUCUGGGUGGAUUGAGGCACCUGGAGAACCCAGUGCUGCCUGUAUUUUUGGAUAUCCCGGAGUACCCGUGUGAUCAUCCUAUGGACCGCCACCCAGGCUCAAAGAGAUCAUGAGAUUAUUCAUGCUAGAAACUUCCGUGUGCAGCCACAAGCUAUUAUGGGCUCUAGCAUAGUUGAGUAGGUUGUGUGAGCUCUUGAAGAGGUAGACUAGCAGAUGUAGGGGAUGUAGGUGGUACUGUCUACCCGGAGUAGAGAGUUAACGCUUCUGAAAGACUAUGUCUCGGAGGAGAUCGAGUCUUGUGGGGAAAAGUGCACAAACCUCUGCAGAGUGUAUAAACUAAUCAUGGUUAGCCGUGUCCCCGGUUAUGGACAUCUUGAGUAUCUAGUACUUGGAUUAUCAUGUGAAUCUCACCACCAUGUUACUUUAAUUAAUAUUGUUGGGUUAAUGAUGAUACUUAAUUGGGAUUGAGAUGCUGUCAACCAUCUCAAUGUUUCACAACCACCAUGAUAGUUAAAUAGAAUUUAUUCCUUUGCAGUAGGGAAAAUUGGCUUUUCGCAAAACUGUAACCAUAGAGCCUUCUACCAGCCAUAUAUGCAUGUAGUAUAGCAUUAUUAUGUUCAUUACUCUCUAUGUGUUACAUUGCCAGCAUAUUCCAUGUGCUGACCCGUUUCGGGCUGCAACGUUUUAUGUUGCAGACUUUUCAGACGACGAGUAAGGUGCCUUAGGUCGUGGUCUCAUACUCAGUGAUGCCGUUGGAGUUGAUGGACUCACUUAUCUUCCAAGUCUUCCGCUGUUAUCGUAUUUAGAUGGCCUUAAGCCGUAUUUAUCAUACUUUUUCUCUUUUGAGAUACUCGAUGUAAUAAGUGUGUGAUUGCUACUCUCUUAUAAAUCCUCCAUUUGUACUGUGCGUGUCAGCAUUACUGAUCCAGGGAUGACACUAAAGCACAGAGCACAGACUAUUUGAGGUCUGCUCGCUACAAAGGUGGUAUCAGAGCACACGCUGACUGUAGGACACGACCACUAAGCUUAAACCCUAGAACACUACUCUCUUCUUAUUUCUGACUCCUCUCCACUUUCUACUCUUUAGGAAUGGCGGAUGCAAGGAACAAGUUCAUGCAACCGGAUGAAGAUACACCUUUUGGACGACACUUGAAGGAAGUCACUAAGUACCUAAACAUCGGAAUACCAAGCUUCACCGGGACCCACAACGCCACACUACCAGAAGAGGAGCGCUGGAAGAUUCAAGUUCAAAUUCCUGGAAGGACGUUUACACCAGUCACUGAGCCUAUAGAGUUUUCCUUUGAUGCACCAACCUGGAGUUUAGGGAAGAGCAUGGCAGCCCACAUCUCUAUGGGACGCAUUGGAGAAGUCUACCGCAGGGAGCUUAAGGAUACUAUCUAUCAGAUUUGUGGACGCCGAGAUGAACAAUGGGAGAUGAUCAGCACCAAGAAGGAUGGAUCAAUUGCAGCUUUCAUCCAGGAGCAAAACCAACACAUUCGUCGCCAGGAGAACCGGAUGUGCUCAGACAUGAUAUAUCUGAAGAAGGCAUUGACCAAGAUCACGGAGUUGGAGGAAGAACUCAAGUCUACGCGCGAUGGAUAUGAGGAGGAGAUCACGUUGUUGGAGAAGAACGGCGAACUGAUACAGAAGAUCGAAGUAUUCAUGGGAGACUCAUCACCUGGAGGAGAAGAUGACGAUUCUACUUGCCCGAAUAACUACAUCAUCAUCAACGACACCGACUCAGACCCCAGUGAAGAUGACUUUAUUGAUGAAGCUGGAGCAGAUAUCCUGGAGUCUUCGACCGAUCAAAAUUUCUAGUAGACCACCAUAUCAGUAGUAGUAUUUCCCCAUGUAUAUAGUAUAGUCCGAGCACUUUUUUUUGUAACGAUAGUUAGAUCGAUUGUAUGCCUUGUUUGAUUUUGAUUGAGUGAUAUUGAUUGUGUUUGUAUCAUGAGCAUAUGGGUAGUGUUUUCCCUCUAGACCUCAUUCUAUUCUAAAUUCUCAUCUUUUCUAAACCUAUCAGAUGCCUCCGAGACGCGACACCGGAUUUGUUUUCCCACCGGAGAUCACUCAGUUGAUUCAGCAGCAGAAUGCCCUGAUGCAAGUGUUAGUACAGAACCAAGGCAACAACAACAACAACAACCCACCACCACCACCUGUUGAUCACUUGAGGCUAAAUCCGCCGGUGUUUUCCAGCAGCACCGAGCCGAUUGUUGCAGAUGAUUGGCUCCGCAAGGUUGGAAGGGAGUUGACCACUUCAGGAUGCACGGAUGCGGAGAAAGUGCGUUUUGCCGCACAUCAGCUUGAUGGACCCGCAGCGUCAUGGUGGGAGAAUUACACAGCCACACACCCUAUUGACACUGUCACAUGGGACCAGUUUCAGCAAGCUUUCCGUAUUGCCCAUGUUUCAGCAGGAGCUAUGGCUAUGAAGAAGCGUGAGUUUCGCAACCUACGCCAAGGAGGACGCACCGUAGGCCAGUAUGUGGAGGACUUUAGUAAGUUAGCACGUUAUGCUCCCGAUGACGUUGCUACAGAUGCAGCCAAGCAGGAGAAGUUUCUCAAAGGAUUGAAUGAUGAGCUGAGCAUGCAGUUGAUGGUAGCAACCUUCAACAACUACCAGGAGUUGGUAGAUAGAGCUCUCAUGAUUGAAGGGAAGCAACAGCAGAUUGAAAGCCGUAAGAGGAAGUAUGGACAAGGGAAGUACAAUUCUGGAGCUCAGCAGAAGCCACGUUUUACCCCGAAAUCGGGAGGACAGUUUCAGCAUACCCAUGGAGGAGGUAGUUCGCACAACCAUAGUGGACCCAAGAAGGGUAAUGGGAAUGGAGGAAGCAACGGGCAGAACCGUAAUAACCCAUCUACCCCAGCCAAGAGGGAUCUAAGUCACAUUACUUGUUUCAAGUGCCAGAAGACUGGACAUUAUGCAACUGACUGUCCUGAAGCCCAGAAUGGAAAUGGCAAUGGAAGCUCUGGGAAGAAGCCGAACCCUUUCAACAAAGGACAAGUGAACCACGUUUACGUGGAGGAGGUUGAAGCACAGCCUGAUGCAGUAAUAGGUAAGUUUUUGGUUAAGUCAUUUACUGCACUCGUUCUUUUUGAUACUGGUGCAUCGCAUUCAUACGUAUCAAGGGGAUUUGUGGAUAAGUAUAAAAUGCCAACCCAAGCCCUUAGGUCACCCAUGUUAGUAACCUCGCCAGGAGCAGAGUAUAUGGCUAGUUUAUGGUGUGAUCGGUUACCAUUAAGGAUUGGUAACUACGUGUUUCCCUCGGACCUAAUAAUAUUGGAAUCGCAAGGAUUGGAUGUGAUAUUAGGCAUGGAUUGGUUAUCAAAGUAUGAAGGGAACAUUGAAUGCGCCAGUAAGUCGAUUUUGCUUACCACCCCAGAAGGAAGGAGGAUUAAGUAUGUAUCCCGGCAUAUGCCGAAGAGGACUCAGGUGAAUUCCUUAUCAGGAGUUGUACAGGAGGAAGUACCAGUGGUGAAGGAUUACCCGGAUGUAUUUCCAGAAGAGUUGCCAGGCAUGCCACCGGAUAGAGACAUUGAGUUCUUGAUUGAACUUUUGCCAGGCACAGGGCCAAUAUCUAAGAGACCGUACAGGAUGCCCGCAAAAGAUUCGGAGGAGAUUAAGAAGCAGAUUAAGGAGUUACUGGAUAAAGGCUAUAUUCGCCCAAGUUCGUCACCUUGGGGAUCACCAGUACUUCUAGUAGAGAAGAAAGAUGGAUCGUUGAGGAUGGUUGUUGAUUAUCGUGGAUUGAAUGAAGUGACCAUCAAAAACAAGUACCCACUGCCGAUGAUCAAUGAUCUGUUUGACCGAUUACAAGGAGCUAAGGUAUUUUCCAAGAUCGAUCUAUGACCAGGAUACCAUCAGUUAAAGAAUCGAGAGCAGGAUAUACCUAAGACGGCUUUUACCACCAGGUAUGGGCUAUAUGAGUAUACUGUUAUGUCAUUUGGUCUGACUAACGCACCUGCCUAUUUCAUGAACCUGAUAAACAAAGUGUUUAUGGAGUUUUUGGAUAAGUUCGUCGUGGUGUUCAUUGACGAUAUAUUAGUCUACUCCAAGAAUGAAGAAGAGAGCAUAAGGAGCAUUUGCGUUUGGUACUUGAGAAGCUCAGAGAACACCAGUUAUACGCCAAGUUCAGCAAAUGUGGAUUUUGGCUGAAGGAAGUUGGAUUCCUCGGACAUGUUAUAUCCGGAGAAGGAAUAGCAGUAGACCCCACCAAAGUUGACACAGUAACAAGCUUGGAAUCACCCAUGUUAGUUGGAGAGAUCCGUAGUUUUCUGGGACUUGCAGGAUACUACCGGAGGUUCAUCGAGAAUUUCUCGAAGAUUGCUAAGCCCAUGACAGAGCUGUUAAAGAAGGACACCAAGUUCAGUUGGACUGAGGAAUGUGAAGCUAGUUUCCAAGAGUUGAAGAAAUGAUUGGUUACAUCACCAGUGUUGAUUCUGCCAGAUCAACGCAAGGAUUAUGAAGUAUAUUGCGACGCUUCACGUCGAGGACUUGGAGCAGUGCUUAUGCAGGAAGGAAGGGUUGUUUCAUAUGCUUCACGGCAACUUAAACCCCAUGAGAAGAAUUAUGCCAUGCAUGAUUUGGAGUUAGCAGCCGUAGUGCAUGCGUUGAAGACAUGGAGACAUUUUCUCAUCGGAAAACAUUGUGAGGUGUACAUGGAUCACAAGAGUUUGAAGUACAUUUUCACGCAGAAGGAGUUGAAUCUCAGGCAAAGGAGAUGGUUGGAACUCAUAAAGGAUUAUGAUAUGAGGUUGCAUUAUCACCCCGGAAAGGCUAACGUAGUAGCAGACGCGUUGAGCCGCAAGAGCCAUGUCAACACACUCAUGACUGGAGAGUUACCGAAAGUAUUAGCCGAGGAUCUUCACGAGCUAUGUUUGGAGAUAGUACCGAGAGGCUAUUUAGCAACGUUGGAGAUUCAGUCUACCUUGAUGGAAAAGAUCCGAGAAGCUCAAAAGACAGACACGGAGAUUGACGAGAUAAAGGAAAAGAUAAGCAAAGGAAAAGCCAAGGGAUUUUGUGAGGAUGAGCACGAUACCUUAUGGUUUGAGGACCACGUUUAUGUGCCCAAUGAUCCGGAGAUCAGGAAGUUGAUCUUGCAAGAGGCCCAUGAUUCACCGUAUUCGAUUCACCCAGGAAAUACCAAGAUGUAUUUGGAUUUGAAGGAUACUUUCUGGUGGACCGGAAUGAAGAAGGAUAUUGCGGAGUAUGUAGCAGUUUGUGAUGUAUGUCAGAGAGUGAAGGCAGAGCAUCAGAAGCCAGCAGGAUUGCUACAGCCAUUGCUGAUACCCGAAUGGAAGUGGGAUAAACUAGGCAUCGAUUUUAUCACGGGAUUGCCGAGGACUCGUUCAGCCUAUGACUCAAUAUGGGUUGUAGUCGAUCCUUUGACGAAAGUAGCUCAUUUCAUCCCAGUGAAGUCCACUUACACCAGUGCUAAGUUGGCAAAGAUAUACAUGACCAGAAUCGUAUGUUUGCAUGGAGUUCCGCGGACCAUUGUAUCAGACAGAGGAACCCAGUUUACGUCGAAGUUCUGGAAUCAGUUACAUGAAACUUUGGGAACCAGGUUAGAAUUCAGUAUAGCUUUUCACCCACAGACAGAUGGACAGACCGAGAGAGUCAAUCAGAUUUUGGAAGACAUGUUGAGAGCUUGUGCGCUAGAUUAUGGAUCUAGUUGGGACGACAAUUUGCCAUAUGCAGAGUUUUCUUACAACAACAGCUAUCAAACUAGUUUGAAGAUGGCCCCUUUCGAAGCUUUGUACGGAAGGAAGUGUAGGACACCAUUGUUAUGGGACGAAGUUGGAGACCGUCAGUUGUUUGGACCAGAUUUGAUUAAGGAAUCAGAACAGAAGGUGAAGUUGAUUCGCGAUAGGCUCAAGGUAGCCCAGUCCAGGCAGAAGAGUUAUGCGGAUUCUAAACGUAAGGAGACAGUUCACGAAGUCGGAGACAGAGUUUAUCUUCGAGUAUCACCACUUCGAGGAGUGAAGCGCUUUGGAGUUAAAGGAAAGUUAGCGCCCCGUUUUAUCGGACCAUACAGAGUUUUGGAGCAUAUGGGAGAAGUUGCUUACAAGCUGGAAUUGCCUGAAGGAUUGUCAGGAGUUCAUGAUGUAUUUCACGUUUCCCAGUUAAAGAAGUGCCACGCAGAGAUGGCUGAGAUACCACUGAGAGAUACAGUGCCCCUAGAAGCGAUUCAGUUGGAAAGUGACUUGACCUAUGAGGAGAAACCAGUUAAGAUUCUUGAGUAUGCCAGCCGAGUCACCCGCAGCAAGGUUAUCAAGUUCUGCAAAGUUCAGUGAAGUCACCACACUGAAGAUGAAGCCACCUGGGAGCGAGAGGAAGAUCUACGGAAGAACCACUCUCACCUAUUUUCUAGCCAACCCGAAUCUCGAGGGCGAGAUUCAUCUUAAGGGGGUAGGUUUGUAACAUCCCAAAAUUUUCAAUUUGGAAUGUUAUACAUUAGAUCAUCAUUUGCAUAGCAUAUUUUAUUGCAUUUUGGCAAAUCCUCGAAAACCCUAAGCAACUCAAGGACCCUUGGAGAGAGUUGGGGAUUUUUUUUACCGAUUUUCAUAUUUGAUUUUUAUCAAAUAAUAAAACGAGGAUUUUUGGUUUUCAUUAUUAUUCUCUCCGAAAAAUAUUUCGUAUUAAAAUAAAUGAGAGGAGAAAAUAUGACUUCUCCAAAAUAAUUGAAAUAUUGGAGGAAAAAUAUUAAAAUCAAAUAUUUGAUUUUAUUCGGAUUUUUAUUUGCAAUUUUUAUUGCAUUAGAAAAAUUUCAUGUUUUCAAAACUGCAAAUUUUGGCCCAAAAAAAUGUUCACGUCGUCCUAAUUAUUUUAAUUAGACGGUGAAAAUUUGUUUUGGCAUUUUUGUAUUUUUAUUUAUUUUUCUACGAUUUGUUUUUGUUCGGCGGAAUAUUAUUUUAAAAAAAAUCCCAGCCGAGCCAAGCCGGCCCAUCCCGCGUCGCCGUCUCCCUCCUGGAGACCUGGACGAGUACGCCGCCGCGGCCCGAGUCCGGGACGGCCACGCCUCCCCGGCGCCCCCUUCCCCAAGCCGGAGUAGCCCCCCAACCUAUAUAUAUACCCCGCCCCGCCGCCGCCUCCCUCACCUCGCCCCACCGACGCCAGAGCCGGAGCCCGAAGCCGCCGCCACCGCCGCGAGNNNNNNNNNNNNNNNNNNNNNNNNNNNNNNNNNNNNNNNNNNNNNNNNNNNNNNNNNNNNNNNNNNNNNNNNNNNNNNNNNNNNNNNNNNNNNNNNNNNNNNNNNNNNNNNNNNNNNNNNNNNNNNNNNNNNNNNNNNNNNNNNNNNNNNNNNNNNNNNNNNNNNNNNNNNNNNNNNNNNNNNNNNNNNNNNNNNNNNNNNNNNNNNNNNNNNNNNNNNNNNNNNNNNNNNNNNNNNNNNNNNNNNNNNNNNNNNNNNNNNNNNNNNNNNNNNNNNNNNNNNNNNNNNNNNNNNNNNNNNNNNNNNNNNNNNNNNNNNNNNNNNNNNNNNNNNNNNNNNNNNNNNNNNNNNNNNNNNNNNNNNNNNNNNNNNNNNNNNNNNNNNNNNNNNNNNNNNNNNNNNNNNNNNNNNNNNNNNNNNNNNNNNNNNNNNNNNNNNNNNNNNNNNNNNNNCGCUACGCCGGAGUAGCCUCGCCGGAGGUAACCGAAGCCGCCGCCGCCGAGUCCGGUUUUUUUUUAAAAACCGAUUCGGUUUUUUUUCGAACCCUAGUUUUUUUAUAUAGAUCGGUUUAUUUUUUUGGUUUUAUUAAUUAUUGAACGUUCACCGACCCGUUCGUUUUAACCAACGUGUUCCUCGGAUUGUCGCUGUUAACGAACGUCCGUUCAUUUAACUGUUCGUCAGUUUUUUCUUCGUCGGAUUUUUCCGCGGUUAUUCCAGAUCGUGAUUUCCGAUCAGAUUUUCGUUUUCGUUUAUCUUUUCGCUCAUUUAUCGGAAUCAGGCGAUUCAAGCGCCUAGAGUUUCGUCUCGAAAUUCUCUUUCCAUUUAACCCAGUCAAACAAGUUUUUGCUACUGUAAAAUUUGACCUAGAUCCAGAUUAGUAAACGAAGCUUGUUUCUUUCGCCGCUUGAUUUUCGUUGCUUCGUUCGAUUUGAUUCUUUUUGCAAACCGGAGUUCUUAAGUUGAACUUACUGGUUAGAUCAUUAUUUGAGUUUUACCUGUGCAUUUGAUGAGUGCCUAUUGUAUGCUUGUUUGUUUGCGAUAGAGUACCCGGAGUGCGCCGCUUGCUACUUCGAAUCUCUAAGUUUCACGGAUCAUCAGCAAGGCAAGUAACACUUUGAUCAUAUCUUUUACUACCCAGUUUUAUUGCAUUAGACCAACCUUCAAACAUUGCAUGGUUAGGAUCUAAUUAAAUUGUGGGUAUUGGGAAGUAGUUGAGGUAGUACCUAUUGCCCUGUUUAUUGUCAAACCCUUAGGAGUUACUUCUACAUUUGCUUAUAUCGCUAUGCUAUGCUAGUAGACGUGGAUUGGGUUUGAGAGGUAUUCACGACAGAUGUGAGAUUGUUAAUUAAUGGUUUACUUAAGGUGGCAACUAAAACUCACAUCUGGGUGGAUUGAGGCACCUGGAGAACCCAGUGCUGCCUGUAUUUUUGGAUAUCCCGGAGUACCCGUGUGAUCAUCCUAUGGACCGCCACCCAGGCUCAAAGAGAUCAUGAGAUUAUUCAUGCUAGAAACUUCCGUGUGCAGCCACAAGCUAUUAUGGGCUCUAGCAUAGUUGAGUAGGUUGUGUGAGCUCUUGAAGAGGUAGACUAGCAGAUGUAGGGGAUGUAGGUGGUACUGUCUACCCGGAGUAGAGAGUUAACGCUUCUGAAAGACUAUGUCUCGGAGGAGAUCGAGUCUUGUGGGGAAAAGUGCACAAACCUCUGCAGAGUGUAUAAACUAAUCAUGGUUAGCCGUGUCCCCGGUUAUGGACAUCUUGAGUAUCUAGUACUUGGAUUAUCAUGUGAAUCUCACCACCAUGUUACUUUAAUUAAUAUUGUUGGGUUAAUGAUGAUACUUAAUUGGGAUUGAGAUGCUGUCAACCAUCUCAAUGUUUCACAACCACCAUGAUAGUUAAAUAAAAUUUAUUCCUUUGCAGUAGGGAAAAAUUGGCUUUUCGCAAAACUGUAACCAUAGAGCCUUCUACCAGCCAUAUAUGCAUGUAUUAUAGCAUUAUUAUGUUCAUUACUCUCUAUGUGUUACAUUGCCAGCAUAUUCCAUGUGCUGACCCGUUUCGGGCUGCAACGUUUUAUGUUGCAGACUUUUUAGACGACGAGUAAGGUGCCUUAGGUCGUGUUCUUAUACUCAGUGAUGCCGUUGGGGUUGAUGGACUCACUUAUCUUCCAAGUCUUCCGUUGUUAUCGUAUUUAGAUGGCCUUAAGCCGUAUUUAUCAUACUUUUUCUCUUUUGAGAUAUUCGAUGCAAUAAGUGUGUGAUUGCUACUCUGUUAUAAAUCCUCCAUUUGUACUGUGCGUGUCAGCAUUACUGAUCCAGGGAUGACUCUAAAGCACAGAGCACAGACUGUUUGAGGUCUGGUCGCUACAGUCUUGGACAAAACUCUCGGUAAAAUAUUGGAACUCUGGCAAAAUGUGCUUUCCCGAUUGCUACACUCAGCAAAAGGGGGUAUGCACUGCACUGUUUUGGUUGUCCAGAUUGCAUACGGCCUCGAAUGAAGAUGAUUCCAAAACUAAAGUUUUUCAUUUUGACGAGAUGAUUAAUUUUCAUGUUCAGAACUUCUCCAUUUUAGGCCAUGUUAUUUACACUUUUUGCAGUGCCAAAAUAUGGUCUCAAAUGAAUAUGGCGGUGGUCAUAUUUAUUGCAUAGUUUCUAACAAUGGGCCUAAACUUGGUAUUUUGGUGCAUCUCGCCAUUACAAACGAUGAUGCCAAAUAGAGUUUCCAAUAUUUUGUACAAAAAAUAAUUUUCCCAUCUUCUAAGUGUAAAAAAUGGAUAUUUUGUGAAGCAGGUAAAAAAACAUAGUGCAAAAUGGCACCACCCCAAUUUUCAUAAAAAGUAGACCACAUGUUUUAGAAAAUUCCCAGGUUUUGUGGAUCUUCUAGAUUUCUAGCUACUUUCGCACCGCUAAAUUCAAAUUUGAACUUUAAGUGUGUGAUAGCUCUGUCCUAAAAAUUAGCAAAAAUGUAAUUUAUUUUAGGUAUGCAAGUAGUCAUUUUAUGAAUGACCACUUAAGUUUGAGAGAUUCAGCCCCUUGCCAUGACUAUCCAUGCCGGGUAUGUUGACCCCAUUUUGGAAAAAUGAAACAAAAAGGAUGCAAGUUCAAAAAAUGCAAUCCAUUCAUAUGGACUCCUUUUAUGUGUACUAGUUAGGAUGAAAAUAGCAAACUUCAAUUUGGAAACUUUGAAAGAAAAAUAUCCAUCACAAAACGGGUUAUCGUGUAUGAACCUUCACGGCUUUCAAGUCAAACGACCAAGGUGACGACAAUAUUCGUUGCAUAGUUUAUUAUAUUAUGCCCAAAUUAGACAUAUAGGUGAAUCAUGCCAUUACAAAUAAUGUUGCAAAAUAGAGUUUCCAACUUUUUGUGCAAAAAAAUCAUUUUCUAUUUUCUCAGUGUCAAAAAUGGGUGUUUCUUGUGAUGCGGGUUCAAAAAAUAGGGUGGAAAAUGGCACCACUCCAAUUUUCACAAAAAGUAGACCAUAUUAGAUGGACAAUUCCCAAGUUUUGUAGAUGUCUAGCUAAAACUAACAAUUGGAGUAUUUUUUAAUAUUUAGUGAAAAUAAAAAAUGGGAAGGGGGAUACUUAAUGGAUAGCGUGGACAUCUAAGGGUGUACCUUUAAGUGUUGGAGAUGCCUUUAUGUGCUGGUUUAUGUCGUGCUCAACCUGCAGUGUACUAGAGUUAAUCAUGUUGGGUAACGUUGCAUGGAAAAAUAAAAAAAAAUCUACGCACACGCAAUGAUCUAUCCAUGGAGAUGCAUAGCAACGAGGGGGAGAGUGUGUCGACGUACCCUCGUAGACCGAAAGUGGAAGUGUUUGACAACGCGGUUGAUGUAGUCAAACUUCUUCUAGCUCCGACCGAUCAAGCACCGAACGUACGGCGCCUCCGAGUUCUGCACAUGUUCAGCUCGGUGACGUCCCUCAUCUUCUUGAUCCAACAAGGCGUCGAGGAAGUAGAUGAGUUCCAUCAGCACGACGGCGUGGUGACGAUGAUGGUGAAGUGAUCCGUGCAGGGCUUUGCCUAAGCACCGCGAGAAUAUGACCGGGGAUGUGAACUAUGGAGGUGGGUGCCGCACACGGCUAACAAUUUAUGUUGUGUGUUCUAGGCGCCCCCUUCCCCACAUAUAUAUAGGUGGGAGGGGAGCAGAGGAAGCCAGGGGGCGCCCCAUGUAGGAUCCGAAUCCUACUUGGGGUUUCCCCAAGUGCCCCCCUUUCCUUUUUCCACCGUAGAAGAAAGGAAGGGGAAGAAGAGAAGGAAGGGGGCUGAACCCCCUCUUCUCCUUCUCCUAUUCGGCCACCUACCAUAGGGGGGCGCGCCACCCCUUGUGGGCUGGUGUGCUCCCCUCUCAUGGCCCAUAUGGCCAAUAUAUUCCCCCGGUGGUUCCGAUAACCCCCCCCCCUCCCGUACUCCGAUAAAUACCCGAUACAUUCCGGAACACUUCCGGUGUCCGAAUACUAUCAUCCUAUGUAUCAAUCUUUACCUCCCGACCAUUUCGAGACUCCUCGUCUUGUACGUGAUCUCAUCCGGGACUCCGAACAACAUUCGGUCACCAAAUCACAUAACUCGUAUAAUAUAAUAUUGUCAUCGUUAAGCGUGCGGACCCUACGGGUUCGAGAACUAUGUAGACAUGACCGGCACACCUCUCCGGUCAAUAACCGAUAGCGGAACCUGGAUGCUCAUAUUGGAUCCUACAUAUUAUACGAAGAUCUUUAUCGGUCGAACCGUUAUGACAACAUACAUUAUUCCCUUUGUCUAUCAGUAUGUUUCUUGCCCGAGAUUCGAUCGUCGGUAUCUGCAUACCUAGUUCAAUCUCGUUAUCGGCAAGUCUCUUUACUUGUUCUGUAAUACAUCACCUCGCUAACGGAUGGGUCUUGUCCAUCACAUCAUUCUCCUAAUGAUGUGAUCCCGUUAUCAAAUGACAACUCAUGUCCAUGGUUAGGAUCCCUUAACCAUCUUUGAUCAACGCGCUAGUCAAGUAGAGGCUCACUAGGGGCAUAGUGUUUGUCUAUGUAUUCACACAUGUAUUAAGGUUUCCGAUCAAUACAAUUCUAGCAUGAAUAAUAAACAUUUAUCAUGAAUAAGGAAAUAUAAAAUAACAACUUUAUUAUUGCCUCUAGGGCAUAUUUCCUUCAAAUCAGUAUAUGUGUGCAUGCUUGGUUGUUAGUGAAGUGUUUUAUGUAUAUGUGUGUAUGCUUGGUUGGGCCAACUUUGUGUAUUACAUUUUUGAAAUACAAACUUAAUAUAUGCCACAUUUUUGUGUUAACGACUAAUAAGUAUAUACAUAACUAUAUUUUGCCUUGUUUUUCCUCCUCUAGAAGAAAAGGUCCCACGCUUUUCUCCUCCUCCCAUCGGCGCCGUAGCUGGUCCGCCCCAUCUCCGAUGGCCUUUGGGCCACGAAGGUGAGUAGGACCUCAGGCCCUCGCUGGCGGGAGGGGACCCGUUCUCAUUCUUGUUUGGUUCAAUGUCUUGCUGGAGCUGUGUUACGGCUGCGAUGUAUCUGAGUAGGAGUAAUUUUUCACAUGUUCUAUCCCCGUCUCGAUGGUGCCUCUAGCGUCAUCGAAGGGCGUGUGGAGGUGUGUCUCUGUCGGAUUUCGCAGGAUUCGGUUGGAGUUGGUCUUUAGUGGAUCUGUUUGGACACGGUCUUUAUUCGUCUUUGUGGUGUUUAUACUAUUGAUCCUUCCGAUCUAUGACUUUCUUCAUCGACGAUGGUUGCUGCUUUGGUGGGCUUGUCCUAUGGGUCCUUAGCACGACAACUUCCUGACUAUUGACUACAACAAGGUUUGCCUGGCUCCAGCGACAGGGGGGGUGAUGGCGAUGCACAGCUGGCUUCAGUGCUUGUAGUCAUCGCUAGGUGGUCCACGGACCUGGUUGUAAUUUUUCGUAUCUCUGGUGUUCUUUGUACUGCCAUGAUUGAAAAUGAAUAGAUUGGAAGUUUCUCACGCAAAAAAUAACUAUAUAAAUAACUAUUUUAACAAAAUUUGCAAAAAGAACUAUUUUAGCAAGUAAUAAAUUUUGACGCCAAUUAUAUGGUAGUUAUUAAUAUUUCCCCUAAUAAUAUCCGCAUUGGAUCCAGGUUUUAUACUAUGUAUACAGACGGGAGGAUGUUUGGACAAUUGGGUGAACACAAGGAUAUAUCCUAGCAAAACUAUUUUUAGCAACAAGUAGUUAAUGAAUUAAUAUAUGCUAGCUAUACUCUACUGGUGAAAACAUGGUGUAUUAGCUGUACAAAGCAUGCAACACCGCUUCACUCCCCUUUAUAUUCCUGGGCAGAACACAAUUUCAGGUAUAAGUUUUAUGUUUUUCUACACACUCCCAUCUUCUUCCCAUAUCAGCAGGAAAAUUCACUCCAAUCAUCUCGCCAUUCUACACUUGGGAAAUCAGGUUUGCUUCAAUCUACCAUCCUUGAAUAUAUGCCCCACGUCUUAUUUCUACGUCCUAAUCUUAUUAAGCUUGUAAUUAGUAGUUAGUGCAAGAUCGAAAAGGAGCUAUGGGCAAAACACCAUCCGCACCUGCUGAUAAAAUCACCAUGGGACAAGCGGCGCCUAAUCAUGAAAUAGCAGCAGAUUCAAGUGACAGUGAGAGAACAAUCAGUGAGGGUUAUGUGGGGAUCAUGUAUGGUGGUAGCCAAACCAACGAUGGCAACCUGGAAGGAGAAUCUGCUAAGGUAUUGCUAGCAACAGAUUCAAGUGACAGCGAGAGAACAAUCAGUGAGAGUUAUGUGGGGAUCCUGUAUGGUGGUAGCCAAACCCAGGAUGGAGACCUAGAGGGAGAAUCUGCUAUGGUAUUGCCUGCUGUAGGAGAGAAUACCACGGCGAGAUCUAACAGUCAUGGUUAUACCCGCAGCUUGGAAAUUGAUUCUGCCUCUCGUACUGAGCGGCAUGCUGCCAGGUCAGAUUCUGUUCGAGUGGCACAGCGCCGAGACUGCAUGCAAAUUUACCCUGAGUGGCUGGAGAAAAUUGAUUCAGGCAAAAAGAUGUGGACAACUCUCAAACAAUUUCGAGCAAGUGGGAAGCAUGAAGAGGUUAGUAUAUACACAUGUUCUGGUGUGCUCUGUCAUCAAAUAAUUUUCAUUGUGUGUUAAUCAUCUCAUAACAUAAGGAGUGUUUGCUUGAUGGGCAUUCAGACCAAAUGAUGAACGAAUUAGAUCCUUUUUCCUUUGAUCAAAAACACAUGGCAUUUUUUUAUCAACUAGCCCAUCCUUUUUCUUUGAUCUACUAACAUUGGUUUCAAGUUAUUGUAGAAGUUUCUUGUAGUGACUGGUUAAAUAAUUCACACAUGUUCGUCUAUUUAUGCUAUGUUAUACAAUCUAUCCGAUGAUGAAUAUCCAUUUUUUCUAAAAAUAGUGCAUCUACCUCUAACUAUUUCACAGUCAACAAUCCAAGCCCGAGCCCGGCUUGGCACGGCUCAAAGCACAUGGACAAUGGCUUCUCAAUUUAACUAAUUAUAUUCGGGAUAUUAAAAUGAUAUAAUAUACCUAUAUUUUGAAUAAAAUAUACAUUUGUUGCCAUUUCGGGCUUUUGGGCCGGGCUUCGGGCGAGAAAUUGAAGCCCAAGCCUACCCCAGAUGUCGGGCUUUGCGCUCGGGCCUCUUGGCCGGGUAGUCCAUGAACAGGUUUAGUUUGAUCUAUUCACUCACAUUUUGAUCCUCGUUCAUUAUAGCAUUUAACCAUAAUUCAUAUGAACAUGCACCAAGAGAAUAUAAUAAAGAAAAUGGGUCAAUUUGUGGUAUACAACGCCUUAUUGUGCGACAUCACAAGAACAUUUUUCUCCUUGAUUACAGUAGUAACUAUUGUGCAAUCUUAUAUGUCAAAGCAUAUAUUAUAUGACAAAUUAAGUAUAUUGUUUUGCUUAUUUCAGUAUUACCUUGACAAGGAAUAUAGUCACAAAUUUUGCUCCAAACGCAGCGUUAUUGAGUUCAUACGAAAUGGAUCUGUGAAAGGGAAGCCGGUUCAGAAGGUGCCUAAAUACUUGACUUUCAAACAUAUAGUAAUUAUGCGAAGAUGUAUAUGUUUUUUGUAUUAACUUUAAAGUAUUAAUUUGACACGGUAUCCUAUUUUUGCACAGAGAUCAUCUGAUACUACUACGAACAAUCUUCAGGGUAUGUCCAGUUGGCCCCAUGCAUUUGGAUAUUAUUUUGUCUACUAUUAUUAUUAUAAAGAGAAAUCUAACUGAAACUGAAAUAUAAUAAAUAUUAAUGGAGAGAAAAAUACACAUUAAUGUCCACAUACACAACACAAUUAGCCAGUACUAUCCUAGUUUACAUGAAUUAAUAUUUGCAAUGACAUUUAGGUUAGUCAUGACAUGAUAAAGAAAUUUUUUUUUUGCGAGGUAAGAUAAGGUUUUAUAUAACUGUUCAUGGGGACCUCCUCAUGGUUGCAGAUACAUAGUUUUACAGUGCUUCAUGAAAUAGUUGCAUAUCAUCAUGUCUAAAGAAGAAUCAUGACGGACACAACUUCAAGAAAUUCUUCUUGAAAAUAACAUAAUGUGUAUAUACCUCAUAGAGGAUGUAACUUGUUGGUAGCAUUUAAUAUUGUGACACACUCGCCAUCUUCUAUGCCAGCAUUAUUUGGGUGAUGAUUUAAUAUCCAAAAGCAUACAUCAAGGUAGUUAUGUGUAAUGAUAUUCUUGUGAAAAUAACUUCCAUAGUGUAUACUUGCAUAUAUGUAUUGUUCUAUUGUAUUCUCACAGUUAAUCAUUUUUCUUAAAUUUUUUUUGUUUAUUUAUGUUUAGAGCAAGAUUAUAAAUUAAGCUGAGCAUAAUUUCUGCAGAUUAUAGAUGGCCCACUAAAAGACAAAGGACGAAGGCGCAAACUUCAAGUAAUUCUUCUUGCCACAUAGGUUUUUCUAAUUGUGCGAGGAUACCACUUGUAACUGCCUUUAGUCAUCUAUGUCAGUAGUAUUUUGAGAAGAAUUUCAUUACAAAAUGCAAUGACUCAAAUCAGAUUGUUCAUGAUGAUUCCUAAUUGUAUAACCAAUAAGCUUUACACACCUUCCUAUUUUAGAGUUGUUAUCUUAAUAAGUAUAUACUAUAUGUUAUUAAUGUUGUUGUUGGGUGAGGAACAUUUGGUGCUCACGGUUAGAAUGUAGAAUUUUCUUAACACAACAAGCUAGAGCGAAUGUGGAGGCCAAUAUAGAUUGAAACCAUUAAUUCAUAUUAAAAUGGUCAUGACUUCUUAUUUUUAUUUGACAUAAGUGUUUGUGACUUGUUUGAAUUAAUGUGUUCUGCAAUUAUAUGAUACUUCUAUACUGAUACUAUUUUUAUGAAAUGUGCAGCUAGUUUGUCGACAGGAGCACGAACAACCACAACUUCUACAAAGCUUCCACAUGGUUUCAUCUAGUAUCAUGCGAAAAACAUUGAGACAAUCAAGAUUACUUGAGCAACCUAAAUUAUGUUAGUUGUUACCUGCUUUCAAAUGAAUGUGUCCUCUCAUAGUAUGCAUGUACUUCUGUUGUUGAGGAAUUUAUAUCAUUAGACAGUUCUAUUAUUCAUAAUUAUUGAUUAAUGGGUACAUACCUUCAAUCCUGGAAGAUUGUGAGAUAGCCAGUCAAGGAAGCGAUUUGUUUAUUGAAUUGUGCAUAAUAGGGACAUUUUUACAUUUAAAGGAACAUCGUAGGAAUAAUUUGGUAUUUCGAGAAGAUUUUCCAGUCCCCUGCCCCAACCUGCUGGAGACAGUAUGAGUGCUGACACACACAUUUGUAACGUACCAGCAAGCUAGUGCAGUAGCUUCAGUCACAUGCUCUGGAAGCCCAAUUUGGGUCUUCCUUCAGAAGGCUCAUCAAGGCCAUCAUCACACCAUUCUAGUUAGUUACUUCUGCAAUGAUAUAUGUCCGUGAGAAAAUAAGAAGCUAAGGUUCUAGUAGACUUAUAAUCCUCUAACAGCACCACGUUGGAUAUGCCCGCACAAAUAAAAUAACAUGAGUGGAGUCUAUUUUGUAAGCACAUAUCUUGUCACCAGUCAACUACUAGUACAGUAAGAGCAUCAAAGAGGAAUUCAUUUCAUAUAGAAUAGUCGCAUACAUAUACUUCUGUUCGGCACAUACUGCUCAUUAUCAUGGACAAUGAUGUAGCUAGCUAAAAUGGAGCACGUGGCUAUAUAUAAUGUAAGGAGG
rnacentral:lncRNA from 1 species